rfam:Gossypium arboreum cultivar AKA8401 contig_15666_5, whole genome shotgun sequence.
UGCUGCAUGGCUGUCAUCAGCUCGUGUCGUGAGAUGUUUGGUCAAGUCCUAUAAAGAGCGAAACCCUCGUUUUGUGUUGCUGAGACAUGCGCAUAAGGAGAAAGUCUUUGCAACUGAAGUGAGCAGAGGAGCCGAGUGACGAGCCAGCGCUAC